GAAUGAAGCAAGCAUUGUAAUGUGCACAUAAAUUGAUUUGGGUCUCUAGGCCAGCCCUAUGAUGCCUUUCGGCUUUGAUUUGAGGGCAUGGUUCAUAGCAAAAUAU